GACGAACACUGGCGGCAUGCCUAACACAUGCAAGUCGAACGAGACCUUCGGGUCUAGUGGCGCACGGGUGCGUAACGCGUGGGAACCUGCCUUUAGGUUCGGAAUAACUCAGAGAAAUUUGAGCUAAUACCGGAUAAUGUCUUCGGACCAAAGAUUUAUCGCCUUUAGAUGGGCCCGCGUAGGAUUAGCUAGUUGGUGGGGUGAAGGCCUACCAAGGCGACGAUCCUUAGCUGGUCUGAGAGGAUGAUCAGCCACACUGGGACUGAGACACGGCCCAGACUCCUACGGGAGGCAGCAGUGGGGAAUAUUGGACAAUGGGCGAAAGCCUGAUCCAGCAAUGCCGCGUGAGUGAUGAAGGCCUUCGGGUUGUAAAGCUCUUUUACCAGGGAUGAUAAUGACAGUACCUGGAGAAUAAGCUCCGGCUAACUCCGUGCCAGCCGCCGCCGUAACAC
rnacentral:rRNA from 1 species